rnacentral:rRNA from 1 species
AGAGUUUGAUCCUGGCUCAGAGCGAACGCUGGCGGCAGGCCUAACACAUGCAAGUCGAGCGGCCGUAGCAAUACGGCAGCGGCAGACGGGAGAGUAACACGUGGGAACGUGCCCAUCAGUUCGGAACAACCCAGGGAAACUUGGGCUAAUACCGGAUACGCCCUUACGGGGAAAGAUUUAUCGCUGAUGGAGUAGCCCGCGUUGGAUUAGGUAGUUGGUGGGGUAAAGGCCUACCAAGCCUACGAUCCAUAGCUGGUCUGAGAGGAUGAUCAGCCACACUGGGACUGAGACACGGCCCAGACUCCUACGGGAGGCAGCAGUAGGGAAUCUUGCGCAAUGGGCGAAAGCCUGACGCAGCCAUGCCGCGUGAAUGAUGAAGGUCUUAGGAUUGUAAAAUUCUUUCACCGGGGAAGAUAAUGACGGUACCCGGAGAAGAAGCCCCGGCUAACUUCGUGCCAGCAGCCGCGGUAAUACGAAGGGGGCUAGCGUUGCUCGGAAUUACUGGGCGUAAAGGGCGCGUAGGCGGAUAGUUUAGUCAGAGGUGAAAGCCCAGGGCUCAACCUUGGAACUGCCUU